rnacentral:rRNA from 1 species
AGAGGCCUACCAUGGUUUUAACGGGUAACGGGGAAUUAGGGUUCGAUUCCGGAGAGGGAGCCUGAGAAACGGCUACCACAUCCAAGGAAGGCAGCAGGCGCGCAAAUUACCCAAUCCCGACACGGGGAGGUAGUGACAAUAAAUAACAAUACAGGGUUCUUUGAAUCUUGUAAUUGGAAUGAGUACAAUUUAAAUCUCUUAACGAGGAACAAUUGGAGGGCAAGUCUGGUGCCAGCAGCCGCGGUAAUUCCAGCUCCAAUAGCGUAUAUUAAAGUUGUUGCAGUUAAAAAGCUCGUAGUUGAAUUUCGGGAUCAAUACGUCGGUCGUGCUUUCGGGUACGUACUGGCGUCAUUGGUUUCUCCUUUCUGACGAACCAUGAUGUCAUUAAUUUGGUGCGUCGGGGAAGCAGGACUGUUACCUUGGAAAAAUUAGAGUGCUUAAAGCAGGCUAUCGCCUGAAUACAUUAGCAUGGAAUAAUGAAAUAGGACGGCAUGGUUCUAUUUUGUUGGUUUCUAGGAUCACCGUAAUGAUUAAUAGGGAUAGUUGGGGGCAUUAGUAUUCAAUUGUCAGAGGUGAAAUUCUUGGAUUUAUUGAAGACUAACUUCUGCGAAAGCAUUUGCCAAGGAUGUUUUCAUUAAUCAAGAACGAAAGUUAGGGGAUCGAGGACGAUCAGAUACCGUCGUAGUCUUAACCAUAAACUAUGCCGACUAGGAAUCGGACGAUGUUAAUUUUUUAAUGACUCGUUCGG